AUUGUUUUGGCAGAUUUAGUGCAUUAAAUUUAGAAUUUAAUUAAGAAAUUAGUUUAAUUUCAUACAAUA
rnacentral:tRNA from 1 species